UCAAUGCUUUUUCUCUCUCUCACUAUCUCUUUUCUCUCCCUCAUUAAAUCCGGCCACAUUUAUUUUUGAUUUCCAAUGCUUCUCUGUUCAUCCUUCAACCAGAAUAUUUUCCACACACGUCUUCCAAGCUUGCACUCCUCCCAAAUAUCACCUCUCAACCACUCACAAUAAUUUCACACCAACAAUUCAUGGCAAUUUUGAAUUUCAAAUUCAAAAGUUUGUGGCUAUCUAUACUAUCCCUAAAUACUUUUCUAUCAUUUUCAACAGAUCUGUUUAUCAAAGAAAAACUCACCUGACUUUGCAUCUGAUUUCUUAUUACAAAGAUUUUUUGAACUAUGGGUACACCAAGUGAGAAAAGUUGGCCAUGAUUAUCCAAAUUACCUUGCUAUAAAGCAAAUGUUGUUAAGCAACCGUUGUGAAUGAGAUACUUGGCUGGGCUAUGAGGUUCCUUCACACAGGAUGCUCUCAAAGAUUUCUUAAAUUGUUGGAACAAUACAAGCAAUCUUCACUCUACCAUGUCCCCAUCUAUUUGGGAAAAUUGUAUACAUGUAUACACUCCUGAUCAGACAGUCAAUGACCAUUUGAGCUAAGUCUUCUAUAUAGAAUUUCUUGACUACAAAAUCUCUAUUUGUUUGAACAUGAUUAUGAUGGUUAAGUUUUUUCUUUAUACUCAAAUGCAGUUUUGUCCUAGCUGUUUUCAUGAGAUCUUUUGUGUUUGGUCUUUUGACUAGAAUUGUUUCUAUUACUGUAAAAUGUUUUUCUAACUUAUCUUAAUAUUCUAACUCUUCACCAAUCUUUAUAAGCAUAUACCCGUUUUAUGCAGGUCCAAAAUGGUAGUUUUUAAAUUUUCACUGAAUGGUAGUUUAAGUUGCACUAAUUUUGUGUCUCUUUUUCUCUUUGUGCUUCUCUCUUGAUAUGCUAUAUUUAGUUUUCCUUACCUUUUUCAGGAAAUUCAUUCACCAGAAUCCGUCCUUCUACAUGGUGCUUUCACUAAGACUUCCACCCUAAGCUUCACAUAUAGAGUUCCUGUUUAUUUUUCUGCUUUGUUUGUUUCUUUUAAAAUGAUGAUAUGUGAUUUCAAUUUUUUCUUUACCUUUUGUUCAGCAUCAAAGAAAUUUGUCUGUUGGAGAAGACUUCCACUGUCAAUCUACAAUGUGAAGACUCAGCAUCUAAAUAAUCUAAAUAAUAUACCGAAAAAUUUACUUCAAGCAAUGGCUAUGAGGAUGUCCAUGUCUA